UAAUAAUUUAACCAUGCUUGAAGAGAAUAUAUUCCAAGAUCUGACGGCGCUUCGAUCCUUGUAUUUGGACAGCAAUCAAAUAACUACAAUACAGCAAGGGACAUUUCAAAAUCUACCAGAGCUAACCCGUCUACAAUUUCGUGAAAACAAAUUGACAUUUGUCAGGGAAGACACUUUUGAAAAUCUCACUAGUUUAAAAUACCUGUA